GGGCCCGCACAAGCGGCGGAGCAUGCGGAUUAAUUCGAUGCAACGCGAAGAACCUUACCAAGGCUUGACAUAUAGAGGAAAAGUGCAGAAAUGCACUCCCCGCAAGGUCUCUAUACAGGUGGUGCAUGGUUGUCGUCAGCUCGUGUCGUGAGAUGUUGGGUUAAGUCCCGCAACGAGCGCAACCCUCGUCCUAUGUUGCCAGCACGUAAUGGUGGGAACUCAUGGGAUACUGCCGGGGUCAACUCGGAGGAAGGUGGGGAUGACGUCAAAUCAUCAUGCCCCUUAUGUCUUGGGCUUCACGCAUGCUACAAUGGCCGGUACAGAGGGCUGCAAUACCGCAAGGUGGAGCGAA
rnacentral:rRNA from 1 species